UCUCUGCAGAAAUUUCGCAAAAAAUAGGC
rnacentral:sRNA from 1 species